CUUUUUCAGGGAGCGUGGAGGAUGAAGCGUGACGUAAGCAGCCAUCUUGGAAACACCAGGCUCUGUUAAAAGUUUUCACGACACUGAGUCCAGAGUCGACAGUGACGUGACGCCAUCGCCUCGUCGCACCGAAACCAUCCAAUCACGUCACAGACGCAGUGAGAGAAGUUGUCUUUCAUAAAACCGAGUUUCCAGCAAACAAGAGUCGAUGUUUAAAGACAGUUCCUCUUUGUGAUGCUUCACAACGUCUUCAGCGCUAACGUCAAACCCCGCCCCCUCAGAGAGCGAGCUAGUUUUCAGCUGGACACAUCUGGACUCUGCUGAUGAUCCUGUCAGGGACCAACAGGGGCCCCCGGUGAGUCCUUCCAUCAGGAGCGAGGGGUCAGAGAGAGAGAGAGAAAACAAGGAGCUGUGAACUGAGUCAGUCUCGAUCUGAAAUCUCUCCAAUGUUUAUUUCCCAGCAGCCCUCUGUGCUCUCAGCCUUUAUUUCCCUGAAGGAUUCAUACAGAUUUUCUAAAGUAAUUCUCUCUGAGGAA